AUCAAUUUAUGUUUAUCCCAAACCUUCCAAACCUCCAAACAUGAUGGAAAACAUAAACAUCUCAAAAUAGAAAAUAGUACACAUAUAGGCACACAAAAUUCACCAUUAAAACAUCCAACAACAUCAAAACUUCAUAAAAAGUUCAUAAUCAAUCACAUCCUAAUUUCCCUAAAGAGAGUAAGAACCUCACUUCUUUAUCCCCAUCAUGCAAU
rnacentral:lncRNA from 1 species